GGUGGCGUCGAGGGUGCCGUUCUCCAUGGCCACCUCGGCCAGCGCCGUCGCGUAGCUCUCGGCGGCCGCGUCCUCGCCGGCUCUGGGCCGGAGGAGGUCGCCGCGGCGGCGGCGGGGCGGGGCGAGGCGGAGGGAAGGGAGGCCCCGGGCCACCGCGCAGGCGAAGGAGGCCGUGCGGGGCGCCGCGGCGGCCGCGGAGGAAGGAGAUGCGGCCGGGCGGAGCGCGACGGAGGUGGUGAGGCGGAGGGCGGCCAUUGCUCGCGUCGUGGAGCGUGAGGCGGGGGAGAGUUGUUGGAGCUCGGGGGCUUGGAUUUGGGCUGGGAGGAAGAAGAGGGGUUUGGGUGGGGAAUGGACGGCGCGCAGAGUUGUCGCGAGAUCGGACGGUUGAAGGGCUCCAGGAGUCCUGCCUGGCUGAAGAUGUGUGGCUCUUGGAAGGAUGAGAUGGAUAAGAAAUGGACG
rnacentral:lncRNA from 1 species